UAAUAUGUGAAUGCUUUUGCCUUUUUGAGUCCUUGGGCGUCAGCUGGUUGCUUGUGUUUCCUCUGCGCUUUAGUUCAUAUACCAGAGUGCAUACUUCCUUGAGUUCCAUAUCCCACUGCCAAGUGUGUUGUCCAUGAUGUGUAAAGCAGUUAAUUUGUAUACCUGGCCUUCAGUUCCUCUCUAGAUAACUUUGAACUCUCUUUAUGAAUGAAAUGUUGUGAGAAAAACUGGAGUUGAUUUUCACAUUUGAGGUCGUUAAUGGUGAUUUUUCUUAAUGUAAUUGUGAUGGAAAAGAAAUUUGAUCAAGGAGUCGAAACCAUAAGCAGAGUCGAUCUCAUUCAACAUUGCAUUAUAAUUUGGUACCCCUCACAGAUCGCUCCAAAUAGCAUUGGAAAGUACUUUCAUUUUCCUUCAGUGGAGGCUUCUUUUUCUUUGCUGGUUAAUAUUCAUAGCUUCAGUGCUUGAUAAAAUUUCGUUACUUGACAUUGUUCACUCUUGUCCCUCCUGCUCUAAUCACAAACAAAUGCCCCAAUAAAUAAGAAUGAUUUGUUCAAGAAAUUUGAAAAUACUUGAACAAUAAAAGAAAAGAAUAGGAGAGAAAGGAAAAGAAAUUCAGAAAGCAAAUACUUGGUAGUUUCCAUUUCAAUUAACCGAUCUUUGAAACUAAAAUGUAAUUCUUGCAGUAGAAUAAAAGAAGACACGCAACAUCUUGAGAAGAUUCAUCUAAUGGAACAUACCAUGCUACAAUUGGCAACUGAGACUAAAUAGUAGUUUUUGGUAGAAUAGAUAUCGCAUGCCAAAAAGAAUGUCUUGUAGCUCUGACUACUUCAAAAUUCUUGUACGUAUAGCCCACAAAGCUUUCGAGAUCAUACUUGUUUAUUCAGGCCUGUUUGAACAUACGACCCUAGCGGAAGAUCUUACAACUUUAGGAGUUCAUAGUGUCCAUGAAAUCACAGGAAAAGAAAAGGAUAUAUAGUCAAGUUCAUGAAAAAUAAAGAGAUGGCUUAUUAAAGUUCACAAAUCUGGACAUCUAAAACACUUUAAUUGUGUUUGGUUGAGUCUCCAUUUAUUUGGCAAUUCCCAUCAAGUCUAAUGAUUGACCACCGAUGACUUGAAAAUCGAAGCAUUGGAUGUGCCGCAUGUAGUUGAUGUUGCAUUAUUGAGGGUGGUUAUAUUAUAAAUUAAAUAGACAUGAUAAGAGCAUGAGUUAUAGAUUACCCGAUCCUGACUUGUCUCAUUUAUAUUAAUCUAUUCUCAUUCCUAUCCUAACAAAAAAUUUUAAAUGAGGAUGGAUGGAUAUGAGAAUUUCUCAUCUUAUACCAUUUAUUUAUUUAUUUUAGUUUUUUAACAAUUAAAAAUAAAAAUAUUUUAUAAAUAAAUAAAAUUUAUAAAUUUUAUAACUUAUUUUAUUUAAAUAUAUAAUUAUUUCAUGUGUUCAAAAGAAGAAAAUGAAAAACAAUAAAUUAAAUUAAUUUUAAAUUUAAUUAUACGGCUUGGAAAGUAGUGGGUUAGUACAAGGCAUAUCUUGAACCCUGCCCCUAACCAACCCUAGUUUUAAAACAAAAAAAAAUGUUGAAUUUGUAUCUAAUCAAUUUAUUUUCAUUUAAACUUGUCUUCUUGAAGUAAGUAUUUGAAAAAACUAGUCUCAUUAUCAUCUUUAAUCAUAAUUUUUUUUAAUUUAAAUUUAGAUACCAACAAACAUUUAAAUUAAAUUAAAAAUUCUUAUGCAAACAAGGGCUUUUUAGUUGCAGAAAAAUUGUGUACCUUCUUUGACAUUCUAGAUCCAGUUAUUGCAUUUUUUGGAGGAUCCACAUGAGGAACAAUUUAAAUUUAUUCACAUAUACAAUUAUUCAAAAAGGCAUCAUACUGAACACAAGCAAAAUAACUACAAAUGUUAAUAGAAAUGGAUGGAAGCAUACAGGAAGAAUAUAAAAAAGGAUUUUGAAGCCAAAAAAAUAAAAAAAAAUCAAAAUAAAUAAAAGUAUAUGGUGGCUUAUUAUUGCUCAGGCCUAAUAAUUGAUUGUACAUGUCAAUGGGCCUAAUAUUAUUGCUCCGGCCUUUAUUCUAGAUGUCCAGGCCCUGUCAUUGCCUGAGUGUGAGGUCAUGGCUCGUUCUCUGUAUAGGUAGGUUCAUCCCUUGUCCAUUUGUAUACUUUUGAUCCAUGUGGUCAAGCCAACUUGGCUAUUGGGUACUUCAGGUGCGAUACCUUCUAUCUUACUUCUUACCCAAUUGAGUGAUUUAUCUUAGACGUCAUGGGGUCAUACACCUCUAAAACUUGAGUUGGUGUACUACUACCUUUCCCAGUGCUGAUCUCUCAGAUUCUUUCAUGGGCUUGAGUUCUAGCAUUAGCUUCCUGUUCUCCCCUACCCUGGUCCUAUAGUACUAUUUAUUUUUCAAACUUGGCCCUAGAUUUUUUUUAGUGUAAAAAGUACUAUUUUGUUGAAUUUAAAAAAACUAAUAGGGAACAUAACCUUUCAAUAAGCUUAAACCUCUAUCUCUCAAAACUUUCAAAAUCCUUCUUGAAAGUCUCUUUUGGCUAAAACAAAUAUUUGAGACUCGCAUUGUAUAUGCUUUAAUAAGGGCUUUGAGGGACUCGCUAAAGAUAUAGGUGACAAUUUUGAUAUGAUACUAACACGACUUGAAAAUGAUAUAAAUUUUAAUAGAUUCAGAUUAGGUAUAACAUAUUCAUGUUGUAAACAUAUCAACUCAUAUGACCCGUUUAAUAAAAAUGUACAAUUAUCCAACCCCAUAUAGCUUGUUUACUAAUUCAUGCCAAACAAACCAAUUUAUUUAAUCAUAUCAAAAUGAUGUUUAACUCAUAUAAAAUUAUUAAUAUUAUAUUUCAAAAUUAUAAAAAAAAAAAUACUUAUUAGUUAUAAAUAUGAUAUAGUUAAAAAAUGAAGUAACUAAGUAAAAUUUUAUACAUUUCAUUGUAAAUAUUAAAAUUAUUUUAUCAUUAGAACAUUAGAUAGAAUUAUAAACAAGCGUAAAAUUCAAAUUUUAAUGUAUUUUUAUGUUAUAAACAUUUUCUAAUUUAAAUUUUAUAAUUAAAUUAGUUAAAAUUUAAAAAAUUAAAAUGCAUUUCGAAUAAUACAUUUAUAAAUUUUAAAUAGGUUAAACAUGCUAAAAUUGUAUUAACAUGUUAAACGAGUUAAAAUGGGCUAACCAUGUUAGAAUUGUAUUAGUAUGUUACACAAGUUCAAAUUGUGAUAACAUAUUAAACGGAUUAGAAUCAUGUUAAUGGGUUCAACGGCUAUUAAUAUGUUUCUUAUGUUAGAAUUGUAAUAAUAAGUUAUCUAUGUCAAUUUAUACAAAGGUUAACUUAACCCGUCUAUUAAAUCAGUUUUGUUUGAAUUAGGUCAUUUUAACACAAUUCUUAAAUAAACUGUAUUCCUAUUGAGUAAAUUUUCACUAUUUUUUAUCUUAACAUUAUACAAAUCCAACACGUACGAUAUCACUUAUUGUCACCCCUAACUAAGGAGCAUAUGAGUGUUGCAUUGAGGAACCAGAAGAAGAGUGUAAAUACUAUUUAUAAAAAACUUUAGGAAGUGGAAGCAUUCUAUCAAGUAAAGUUGUGUUAACUUUUUUUCAUAGUUAGUGGAUUAUUCAAUGGUCAAGAGACCAACUAUGGUUUUUUACGCCUAAGGAUUUCUAGGUAGGUUCCACAUUAAAUUCUAUAUCUAAUUGUAUAAUUAGAAAUAUCGUGCAUGAGAUUGAUAACAUAUUAAUCAUAAUUGAAUCAUAAUAAAAUAAUUUAACUUUGGGGUUAAUUAAUUGAACUACGUAUGUAUGGAUAUUUUAUAUUUUUUAACUUUAAAUUAAUUAUUAUGUUGGGAAAUGGAAUAAGGGAAUAGUUGGCUCCAUUUUCAAUCUUGGUAACAUAAUUUGUUGUUGACAUGUUAUUUUAUCUUAUUUUAUAUAUUUUGUAGGAUAAAAAUAUAUAAUCAAGUGCUCUUGCAUGAUUGAUUUAGAUGUUAGAAAAGGUUACAAAACAUUAAUUCUAUUUGACUGAUGACAAAAACUUUUAAUUGCCAACAAUUUUUUUUUUUAUAAACUUUAAGUUGCUAGCAUUCAUAUGUUAUCCUAAAGUUAUUAAUUAUAAUUUUAUCUAAGUUGAACCACAAUUUUUGGGUAAAUGAAGAAGUAUUUAUUGACAAGAUACUUGUUUAUAUUGGAAGUUUUUAGUUUGAUUUGUUGUUGAAUUCAAAUUCUUAGUAGCUAGCUUUGAAUACUAUCUAGUUGCAUUGGUUUUUGUUGUAAGUUCGGUUUUUAUAUUGUUUCCAGACAUGAUGUUUAUUAAUUGAGAAUGCUAAUGAUUCGAGGUUGGAAUCGAUCACUCCUUACUAAACUUAUUCUUUUAGGCUAUGUUUAGUUGGCCGAAUAUAAUAUAUAAUAGAAUAAGAGAAAUGAUAUUAUAUCAUAUUCCAUCUUUAGUUGAUGAUGAGAUAUGAUAAAUUAUUUCAUUGCUUAUUAUAUACUAUGUUUAACUAAAUAUGAGAUAUGAUAAGUGAUGAGAUAUAUUACCCACCUUUUUUAUUUUUAUUUUUAUCUCUUAUACAUGAAAUAUGUUAAUCUCAUGCUAAGAUAUAAGAAAUGCAUAUUUCAUAUAUCAUAAAUUUAUUUUUUAUCAAUUUUUUUAUAUAUUUAUUUUGUAAAAUAAUUUUUUUAUUAUAAAAUUAAAUUUAUAGUUAAAAAAGAAAAACUAAAAAAAUAUUUAUAAAUAACAUUAAUAUAUGAUAUAUAGAUUACUUUUAUGUAUUAAAUAACAUAACAUAAACAUUUUUUAUUUGUAAAAUUUAAAUAUUUUAAUCAUGACUAAUUUUAAACAUAAAAGAAAUUUCAUUUUUUUAAAUGGAAAAUAUUAGAAUGUGAUAUAAUUUUUAUUUUAAACAUUGAAAAUAAUAUAUAUAUAUAUAUAUAUAUAUAUAUAUAUAUAUAUAUAUAUAUAUAUAUAUAUAUAUAUAUAUAUAUAUCAUAUUAUUUUUAUUCAUUUCAUAAAUUAAAUAUAAAUAUAAUAUAAUAUAUCUAAUUAGAUAUGUCACAUUAGAAUAUCAUAUUCAUAUGAUAUAUAUAUUUAAGAAUAUCAUAUCCUAUUAGAAAUUAUAUUUUUAGGAUAUCAUUCUUUUUACCACAAGAGAGCAACAAUUGCUUUUAAUCGGUAAAAUUUGUAUGUGUACUAAAGUUGCACUGCCUAAUGUAAAGUGUUGGCUCCGCCACUGUGUUGCACCUCAAGCCACCACCAAGUCUCCACAUGAUGCUCUUGUAAGCCUUGAUUAUCACAUUACCUUGGUCAAUAGGCACUUAUGGGUACAAGGUGCAACCCCAUGAGACCUUAGUGCCACAUUCUCCAAGUCAAGGUGUUAAUACUCUUCUAUGCUCACAAACUUAAUUUGGUCACCAUUUAUUAACUUAUAAGUCUCUAUAACCAUAAAUAAAAUUUUAAACAUACUAUUAGAACAAGACUCUAUAUUUUGGGUUUUGAUAUCCAAUAAGAUAUGAUAUUUUAAGAAAUACAUAUUUUAUUAAAUUCUAUCCCGUCAAUGAAAUAUAACCUUAAAUGUAUUCUCAUUUUUGUUUCGCAUCUUUAUCCGAAAUCCAGGAAUUUACUUUUUUUUGUUUUAAGGUAAUUCAUUUUUAAUUUUAUUUUAUGUGUAUUAAAAAAAUAAAAGAAAAAAUAAGGAGUGACAUCAAUCAUUAUAAAGCCUGAAUCAAUCCCAAACAUACAUAAGAAGACGAUUUAAGUCUUAAAAUAAAAUCCCAAACCUACUUCUGAUUAGACUACGCGUUUUGAUGACAUUUCACUUGAAAAUAAUGCAGAGUUUUCACUUAUAUUAUAUACUGUCUGAAUUUUAUUUUUGAUUCAUUUCGAUCUAUAAACAGAAACGGAAUUCCCAGUUUUGAAGUAUCAACUUCAUUCCAACUUAUAUUUCAAGUUAAAUAAUAGAUGUUCCAUUCAGAAUUCUUGCAUUGUAUGAUGUGUAAUUCUCUUGUUCAGUUGGCUCUGAUCAGUUUUUCCUUUUGUCCUUUUAUUGCAUUUAGAGUUGGGGCUUGUUCUAGCAGUUCUGGCAACAGCCGGGUUGAUCUUCUUCAUAUAGAUUGGGGUGCUUCUGUUUUUGCUGAUUGGAGAUGUGCUGCUCUUUCUCCUUGUACUUGGUAUUCGGGUGAGAGGUGGAUUAUGUUUGCUUGCUUGCUGGUCUGAGUUUCUGAUAUGUUUUGUCACGGUGGCAUGAGUGCUGAUUCUCAGAGCAUUGAUAUUUUCAUGGUGCUGAGACUGCUGGGAAGGUUGCAGCAUCCUUUUCGUUUCUGGCUGGAAUUGGAUUCUCUGUGUUGGCUUUGCUCUCUGGUUUCUUCACCUAAUUCAACAGAGCCACAUGCUUUGGUCCAUAUACCAGACUGCUGCAUACUUCCUUGGGUUUGAUAUCCCACUGCCAAGGGUGUUGUCCAUAAUGUUAUGUUAUGUUAUGUAAACAAGUUUCAACUUUCACCCAUUGUGGAUUGAAAUGUUUAAUUUGGGAGAAAAACUGGUUGAUUUUAACAUUUGAGGUUGUUAAUGGUGAUUUUUCUUAUAAUGACUGACUGAAAAGAAUGUUGAUGAACAAGGUGGAAGUAUAAGCAGGGUUCUGAGGACUCAAAUAAAAGGGAAAACUUGGGUUCACUUCUGCAAUGGUUUUGGCACUUGGCACUAACUGAUGAAUGGAAAAGAGGUUCAGGGAUGAUGAAGUGAUCUUAUUCAACGUUGCAUUCUAAUUCCUCUCAUUUUCAUAUCUAUUUUCUACCAUGCUAUAUUCAAUAUCCAUUCUGUGAGUUGAAUGACCCAUGUUUUUAUUUUUCUAAGAAAUUCUCUAUCAUUUCAUCAUAACAUCCAGAGGAAACAUAGACAAGAAUUUCUCAUUUUUCAUUCGGGAGCAUUUAGAUCUUCCAACACCAACCUCACUGAACAUGACCGCAAAAUUCCUUCGAUUUUGGACUUAAAAUUAUGUUAGUACCCAUUGGACAAUCCAUUAGGUCACAGUUUGACCUAACUUGAUUCUUUCUUACCCAUGUCUUUUCCUUUGAAUUUUGGGGUGCCCUAUAAUUCAAGUCAAUGAAUUUGGACAAAUCAAAUCAAUUUUUUUCCCAAUUGAUGCCAAGGAAUAUCCAUAUGAUUCAAACAAUAUUUACAUUGUUUGUUUGAAUUUUGCCUAAAGUAUUCAUGAUUGUGUCCAAACAAAAUGCUUAUUAAUGACAUUAGUAAUGACACAAGUGCGUGUGUAGACCCCCAUAUGGGGCUUGGUUUUCAUGCAGCCUGUUUUGCCAAGUGUCACAAUUCCAUAAGGCCAUGUGUUGAUUUCUAGUUGGCUGCUGGGAAUCAGAGUAGUGGAAUUGGAGGACCAAUGAGAGGUCGACACGUGGCAAGAAGAUUCCAAGGAAUCUGCAGAAGCCGUUAUGGAGGAGCGUUUCUGGCAGCUGGAGAGGAGGGUGCUUUUCAGAGUUGGUUAGGAUAUACAAUCAGAGAGGCUGCAAAAAGAAAGGGAGGAAAAAUCAGACAGGAGAGUUGCAGAGAGGGAGUUUUGGAGAGCUUAGAGAGAGACAUUUCUUGGGGAGCAAGCUGGAUAUUCAGAGACUGGAGAGAAAAACGAAAGGAAAAAUCAGAAGAGAGAGGUACCUGGGCUGCUGAAGGGAUUGCCAAGGGAGUCCAGAGGGAGUUUCCAUUAGAGAGGGAGUUGAGAGCUGUUAUCGAGAUAACAGAGGAGGGUUUUUGACCAAGGGUAGAGGAAGCUGCCAGCUGCAAGAGAGAGUGAUUGCUGUUAGAGAGAGAAAGGUUCAUCUUUCUGAGGCUGGUUCCAGGAAGGAUUUGGGCAGGGAGGAGCGGAUUCCGUUAGGGGGAGCAAGCUGUGUAGAGGAGAGCUGGAGAGAGAAAAACAGAGCAUGUUUCGGGAGAGAGAGGACAGAGCAUUUUUUUAGAGUGAAACCAGAGAGAGAAACCAGAGGAGUGGGGAGGUGUUUGUGGAGAGGUAUGGGAGGAUUUGCAGGGGGCAGGCUGGUGACAGAGGGGAGAGCUUGAAGGUGAAGUUUCGUUGAAGGGGAGGCAAACUAGCAGGAGAGGAGGUUUUUCUGGAGUUUUGAGAGGAAGACAGGCGCAGAAAGGCGCAGAGGAGUCAUUUUGGAAGAAGACGUUUUAGCGCGUUACGGCUCGUGGCCCAGGUACGCACUCUCUAUACCUAUUCUGUUUUUUAUAAGUGCAAGAUUGAUUUGAGUAUCCAUUGUUUUUCCCAUUGAUUGUCAUGUCAGCUUCAUUUUAUUAGUAGAGACCCGACUUUAGGGAUUUAGAGGGGUGCUACGGUCUUUACCGUACCUUCCCGAUAAGUAACCUGACCCCCGAACCCGAUCCGGUUUUUCACAGACCGCCUUUUCCAAAAUAAGGAGUCACACUUAGGGUUUUUCUUUCUUAUUUUGUUUACCUUUUAAAAAUAAAACAAAAAUAAGUGGCGACUCCAAAUCAUUUUCAAAUAAUCAAUAAAAAUCAAUUUUUCAAAUAAAAAUCAAGCUCGACAUCGAGUGGGAAACGCAUCGAGCAAUCGAAAUGCGGGGUCCACAGCGUGGUUUUGACAUUUUCAAUAUUUGCAUUCCCAUUACUAAUUUUUGUUUCCCCAUUUUUUUUUUUUUCAUUUUUUGUUUGUUUUGGACUGGUGCUUCCUUCCUCAUUCAUUCUACUUUCGUUUUUUGAAAAACAUUUGUCUCUUUUGCACACAUCCUAAAAAGCCCAAAAGCAUUUUUUUUAACUUAAGCUUUUUUUUCAAUUUAUCUUAAAAUGAAAAUAAAAAAUACAAUUUUCUUAUUGAAGUGUUAUUUUGAUUUAUAGAUAAAGUUAUUUCAUAUUUUAUAAAUCUUUUACUCUAUUUAUUUUGUUCUUUGCAAAUUAUAAUUUGGCUCACUUCAACUUUGAAACAAAAUCAGAAUAAAAAAAAUUAUAGCAAAUUAUGUUUUAAUCUGCUUUCCAAGUGGAAAAUACAAAUAAUGCAACCCGUAUCUGCAUAAAAUUAGUGCAUGUAACAUUACUUUUCAAUGGACUUGAAAAAAUAUUUUAAAACCAACAACUCCAAAAGUCAAUGGUCUCAAUAAUCUAGUGUAAUAGGUUUCCAAAAGAUGAAGGGUGUGAAGAUCCCUAAAAUGUUUUUGAGUGUAAGUGUUUCCAAAAGAUAUAAGCAAGUACGAAUUUCUUUAAAAUGUUUUUCAAUUGUUUUUUUACAUGGUUAUUUAAGUUGCUUAAUAAUAAAUCGUUUUCUAAUUUCUGUAUGAAUUAAAUAUUAUUAUUUUUCUAAAAUAAGAAGUAUGUUUAAUAAUUAAUUUAUCUAAGUAAUAAUAAUGACCAACAACCUUUUAGACCUAGUCUUUCAAUCGACUGAUUUAUUUUCUAGGUAUAAAUUAUCGGGAAGUAAAAUACAUGUAUUGAUGGAUUAAUUAAAGGGAGAGUUAAACCUUCUAAGACACUACCCAUCUCACUUGAGAAUGGAAAAUUGAAUGGCUACAAAUACAUCCUUAUUUCCCUCUUUCCACAAAAAUGGUCUUCCAUAUCCUCUUAUCAAUUUCACUUCAAUUAUCCUUAAAAAAAUCACUUCACAACUUCAAAGAUUUGUUAGUAAAAUUAUAAAAGUACUAACAUGUCACUUGAGUAAAAAAGACAUGAUUAAUAUCCAAAAAAUGAAACAUAUACCAUAUUUAUCAUCUAAAUUAUGUACUUCUUAAAUAGUAAUUACAUGUUACAUAAGAUAGAAUCAUGUUAACAUAUUAAACGGAUUAGAAUCAUGCUAUCUGGUUUAACGAAUGUUAAUAGGUAUAAUAGGUUAGAAUCGAAUUAACGGGGGUUACCUAUGUUAAUUCAUAUAAAGGUCAACUUAACCUAUUUAUUAAAUUAGUUAUGUUUAUAUCAAGUUAUUUUAACAUGAUGUUUAAACAAAUCAUAUUCCAUUUGAGUAAAUUUUCACUAGUUUUUAUCUUGACGCAAUACAAAUCCAACAUAAUAUGACCCAUUAUCACCCUAAUUAAGGAGCAUACGAGUGUUGCAUUAAGGAAGUGGAAGAAGAGCAUAGAUACUAAUGAUAUCAAAUUUUAGGGAGUGGAAGCAUUUAAUCAAGUAAAGUUGUGUAACUUUUUUUUCAUAAGUAGUGAAUUAUUCAAUUGUCAAGAGACCAACCAUAGUUUUUUUUACACCUAGGGAUUUCUAGGUGGUUUCCACAUUAAAUUCUAUGUCGAAUUGUGUAAUUGGAAAUCUCAUGCAUGAGAUUGAUAAGAUAUUGAUGAUAAUUGAGUUGGAAUAAAAUAAUUUAACUUUGAGGGGUUAAUUGCUUGGACUACCUAUUUACCCCUCCCGUAAGAAGUUCCAUAUCAACAAAAAAGUUCUUUCAAUAUGUAUAUAGAUAUUUUAUAUUUUCUAAUUUUAAAUUUAUUUUUAUAUUGGGAAAUUGAAUAAUUGAAUGGGGAAAUAGUUGGUUCAAUUUUCAAGCUUGGAAACAAAAUUUGUUGUUAACAUGUUAUUUUACCUUAUUUUAUACAUUUUUUUUUGAAUACAAAUAUAUAAUCAAGUGCUCUUGUAUGAUUGAUUUAGAUGUUAGCAAAGGUUACAAUCAUUAAUUCUAUUAAUUGACCAACAAUUUUUUAUAAACUUUAAGUUGCUAGCAUUCAUAUAUCAUCCUAAAAUUAUUAAUUAUAAUUUUAUUUAAGUUGAACCACAAAUCUUGGGUAAAUGAAGAAGAAUUUGUUAACAAGAUACUUGUUUAUAUCGGAAGUUUUUAGUUUGAUUUGUUGUUGUUGAAUUCAAAUUCCUAGAAGCUAGCUUUGAGGACUAGCUAGUUGCCUUGGUUUUUGUUAUAUGUUUGAUUUUUAUAUUGUUUUCAGACAUGAUGUGUAAAAUGGAUUAAUGGUAAUGAUGUUGAAACAUGGCUAAUACUAUUAGACCAAUGUUGAAGAGAGUGCCUUUGCUGAGCUGCAUCUGGAGCAAGCUCCAUGACAAGCUCCAUUUACUCCGAAGUAUUGCUUCACAACCUCUCUUUGUGUAUUAUAAAGUUGUGAGUAGAAUUAUUAAAGUUGUUUAAACAAGUGGCAAUCUUGAUAUGCCAGAAUGACACCAUUAGAAAAUUAUAUAAAUUUUAGUAGGUUCAGGUAAGUUGUAAUUAUAUCAGAGUAAUAAUCUUGUCAACUUGCAUAACUCAUUUAAAUGAUUUAAAUAUAUUUAUGAGUGGCAUUUGCAUUGCCUAAUUAUAGUUCUUAUUAGAGAAUGAGUUACUAUCAAUUUUAUGGAAUGAAACUAUAAUUAGUCGGUAUUACUUCAAAGUGAAAUCUUACUCAUAAAAUUUUUCAAUUAAAUUCAAAAGUUAAAAUUAUAAAGUAGAGAAUUAAAAGAACCAUUGAGCAUAGUUUAAAAUUUGAAUAUUAUACGUUUAUUAUUGUAAUGCAAGCCCAAUAUUUAUUAUUUAUUAUUAAAAAUAUAAUUUUAUAUCUAAUUUUUAUAUUUAAGAUAAUUUAGCACAUUUGAACAAUGCUUUGAGAAUAAGAUUGAAGCAUCUAAUUUGACUAAUUGGAUACAAAUCAAACUAAUCCAGUCUUAUUUUUCGUAUUUAUCCACCUUCAAUUAUAAGAUAAACAUAAACAAAAGUCUUUAUAUGAUUAUAACAAUAUAAACACUAAAAUAAUGAGUUUAACAUUAAAUAACAAAAAAUUUAUUUCAAUCUUUGACAUAUUGUUAUAUAAGUUAUAUAUAUGUUAGUAAAAUAAGAAAUAUUAAUAUAUUUAAAAUAUUAAUUAAUAAAAUCACAAUUUUUUGUUAUUGUUAAUAUUUAAUUAAUAAAUUCUAAUUAAAUCUAAAAUAAAAACUUUACACAAAUUAGUAUAAAACCAAAUAUGAUCGCCAUAUUUGUAUUUUAAAUGAGAAACAAAUGUUAAAAGAUAUAAAAAAGAAAAAAAACUCAUUGUCUAGUAUUUUAAUUAUUUAUAUAAUUUUAACUUCUUGUAUUAUUUUAAAUUUUAAUAAUAUAUGAAUUAUAUAUGCAUAUUGCCAUGCUGAUAUCAUGUUUCAAUUACUUGAAUCACCAGUUCAAUUAAGAAACUCUAAUGCAAUAAUUUUUCAAUUCAAUAACUAAUUAAUAAGAUUUUCAAAAUAUUGUAUUUAAAAACUCGUCACAAAAAAUGAAUAUAAAAGAUCAUGAAAUUCUUGCAAAGAAAACUAACCUCAUGAAAAUAUAGAAACCCCAAACCUUAAUUUUUUCAAUAAUACUAAUCAAAGUUCUUCUUGUGUUUAGGCAUAUUAGGAGAGAACCAAUAAUCUCAUCCGCAAAUCAAGCAUAGUCAAUAGUCAAUUCUUAUGUUUAGGAGUAAUAUAUAUAUAUAUAGAAAGUCAUUUAUAUAUUUAAAUGUUGUAAUGUAUAUCUUGAAACUCAAUAAGAAAGGGCUUCUUUUCUUUCCUAGUUCUUAUAGUUUAUAGAUUACCUCGGCAAAAAGGAAAAUGAGAGCUAGAGCUUGAAUCAAACAGUCCAAUCGCAAUCAUUCCUAUUAUUGUCUGACGCACUCCUGCUUUGAACCUUAACGUAUUGAUAAAAAAUCCCUUUCUCAUUUUAGACUAGGGCUUCUCUCUAUAAAUAAGGGAAUUUCUCCGCUUCAGAUGAUGUCUCAUUGGGCCCUUCGAAUGCAUUGUUUUCAUGGUCGGUAGGAGAGAGCCUUCUAUACUUUUGGUCAUUCAUUCAUUCAUCCAUUCAUCUUAUACUCUUGUUAAGAAAAGUGACUUCAUGAAAAUAUAUAUGGAAACCUCAAACCUUAACUUCUUCAAUAAUGCCUAUUAAAAUUUUUGCAAUUGAAGGUUGUGUAAUCGAGGAUGAUAAUGAUGCAAGGUUUAGAACUAGUCACUUCUAACCAAACUUAUUCUUAUACGUAUUCCCCUCUUCAUCUCAAGUCUGGGAGUUUACUUUUCUAUUUUAAGAAAAUUAAUCAUUAUUUUUAUUUUACAUGUAUUGAAAAAGGCAAAAAAAAAAAAAUUAAGAUUGAGCGAUAUGAAUCUCCGUAAAACCAGAAUCAAUCACAACAUAUAUGUGAGAAGAAAAUUUAAAAGUGUGUUUGACAAUAUUUCAUUUUGAAGUGUUUUUAAUUUUAAUGAAAAUAUUUUUUUUAAAAGUGAUUUUGAGAGAAUCAUCUAUUAAAUGUUUUUUUAAAAAGCACCAUAAAUAAUUUUUUAUUUGUUUAAAACUAUUUAAUAAAUUUGAUUAAAUACUUGAUUUUUCUUCAAAAAUAUUUUUUAAAGCUAGAAGUUCUUUUUGAAAAACAACAUCAAAUGGACGUAAGUCUUAAAAUAAAAUCCCAAAUCUACCAUUGAUUUAAUUAUACUUUUCAAAUCCAUCCUAUGGGCCUAGGCAACCUUGAAAUACCCAUCCCUAUUAUAAUACAAAAGCAAACCACCACUAAGGAUAUUUAAACAACAUUUUAAAGACAAUCGAAACCUAUCAAUGAGUCUUUGUCUUAUAAUACAAAUUUCGUUAUGUUCACAUGUAGAAAGGGACAAGUAAUACAUAAAAACUAAAAAUCAUAUACAAUAGAAAGCUUGGAAUCAAGAGGGAAGAGAGUAGAAAGUUACGAAGUGGUGGAGCCUUGGGUAAAAUAAAAUUAACAAUGGCAUUAUCAUGUGCGUGUCUCAUCGCUUGAUGGGUUAUAACUAGAGCCCACUUGAUGCUUAGAAAAAUAUAUUUGCAGGUGGUCUCCAUCUGUCAAUUGAUUAAUCUAUACAAUAUUAAAAAUCCACUUGAUGUUAAUUUAGGAAAAUUAUUUUAUUUUGUUGGUGAUGGCCUGUCUCCCAUCUUCUUCAAGUUUCAACUCUGGACUUCUCAAAUUUGCAAAGUGCAGUGCAGUGAUUCAUCUUUCUUAUUUGUUCCAUCUUUGGCCGAAUUCUAGUCAUUUUUUCUGUUACUUCCGGAAAGCAAUCUUGGGUCUUGUCCCAUCAAAAAUCAAAGCAACCAGCUACUAGGCAUUUGAAUUCAAGAACAACAAAUCAAACUAAAAAACUUUAUGUACAAAUAAGUAUCUUAUUAACAAAUACUUCUUCGUUUAUCGACGAUUUGUGGUUCAACUUAAAUAAAAUUAUUAUUAAUAAUUUUAAGAUAAUAUAUGAAUGCUAGAAUUGUUGGUCAAUUAAUAUAAUUAAUGUGUGAUGAGGUAUAGCACUAUAAAAAUAACUAAAAGAAUAAUCAAAUUUACCCCAUUUCAAUUGGGAAGAGCAAAAUAAACUUUAUUUCACAUUAGAAGACAUUUUGCAAAAAAGUUCAAUAUUUACUAAUAACAAAAUAUAAAAGUCAAUAUAGUUGAGAAACAAGGAAAUUUAAGGAUUUUAGUGUUAAAUCCUUUAUAUGAUGAUAAGAUAUUCUUAGAAAAAGCAAAAUGUAAUAGCAUCUCCUUUAUUUAUUUAUUUUCUUUCAAAAAAAUGUUAUAAAUUGUACAAGUUAUAUGAAUAAUUCAAAUUUUGGCAAUAAAAAUACAAUUCAAUGCCACCGUGACCAAUCAGAAUUGUUUAAAAAAUAAUGUAAAGCAUAAUGUAGUGGUGAUGAAUGCAAGCAUAAAACCAUUGUGGAGCCAAGAUUCAAGGGGCAUCAAUGGAGGAAAAAUAUUAAAGAAAUGGAGGAGGGUGUAUGCAUAGAAUUAUCAUGGACACAGUGCGGGGGGCCCAUCUCUUUCCUAAAAGGAAGACAGAAUAAUUAAGCGACCCAGCUUCUCUUAUGAUGGGAUAUUGCAUCAGGUUAACUUCACCCCAGUCUCAGUCUCUUUGAAUUACCAAACCCUAGUCUCUUCUCUCUUUACUGCUAAUCCUCAUCUCUUUUCCUCUUUCUGUGCUCUCCGGAAACUUUUGUAGAUGGUGGCAUAGCUGCCUAUACUGAAGUUUUAACUCCGGAGUUUUUGAUUGAUAAGGGCAGUGAUUCAUCUGCUCCCUGUAUUGCAAACUAUCCCCUCUUUCUUCUAUCUUUGGCUCAACUUCAGUCCUUUUUUCCUUUGAUUUCCCGAAAGCUAUGGAGUUCCUGAGCUCAAUCGUGGGUCUGAUCCCCUGCUUCUAUGAUCACACCUCCAAGCAUACGGUCUACAUUCGUGAUCUAAACAAAAAUCUCCAAGCCUUGAGGAAGGAAAUGGCGAAGCUCAACAACUUGUAUGAAGAUGUGAAGGCAAAGGUUGAACGUGCAGAGGAACGACAGAUGAUGCGCACAAAGGAAGUGGGUGGCUGGAUCUGUGAAGUAGAAGUCACAGUGACAGAAGUUAAAGAAACUCUGCAAAAGGGCGAUCAAGAAAUCCGGAAGAGAUGUCUCGGAUGCUGUCCCAGGAAUUGUUGGUCUAGCUACAAGAUUGGAAAGGCAGUAAGCGAAAAGCUGGUUGCUGUAUCUGGUCAAAUCGGCAACGGACAUUUCGAUGUUGUAGCCGAGAUGUUGCCUCGUCCUCCAGUUGAUGAUCUGCCCAUGGAGGCGACUGUGGGCCCACAAUUGGCGUAUGAAAAGAGCUGUAGGUUUCUCAAAGAUCCACAAGUGGGAAUUAUGGGAUUGUAUGGAAAGGGGGGUGUUGGCAAAACCACCCUCUUGAAGAAAAUCAACAAUGAAUUCCUUGCAACAUCCAAUGACUUUGAGGUUGUGAUUUGGGCUGUGGUGUCAAAAUCGCCCGACAUUGAAAAAAUUCAGCAAGUUAUUUGGAAUAAAUUGGAAAUCCCACGUGAUAAAUGGGAAACUAGAAGCAGUAGGGAGGAGAAGGCUGCAGAAAUUUUGAGAGUUUUGAAAAGAAAAAGGUUCAUCUUGUUGUUGGAUGACAUUUGGGAGGGACUUGAUCUCCUAGAAAUGGGGGUCCCGCGUCCAGAUACUGAAAAUCAGUCCAAGAUAGUUUUGACGACCCGAUCACAGGAUGUCUGCCACCAAAUGAAAGCUCAGAAGAGUAUAGAAGUGGAAUGUUUGGAGUCAGAAGAUGCCUGGACUUUGUUCCGGAAGGAGGUAGGAGAAGAAAUAUUAAAUUCUCAUCCGGAUAUACCGAUGCUUGCAAAGGUUGUUGCUGAAGAGUGCAGAGGUUUACCUCUCGCUCUUGUCACUCUUGGGCGGGCCAUGGCAGCUGAGAAAGAUCCCUCAAACUGGGACAAGGCAAUACAAAAUCUACGCAAAUCUCCAGCUGAAAUCACAGGUAUGGAAGAUAAAUUGUUUCAUCGAUUGAAACUCAGUUAUGAUAGGUUGCCUGACAAUGCCAGCAAAUCUUGUUUUAUAUAUCAUUCCAUGUUCCGAGAGGACUUGGAGGUUUAUAAUUAUCAACUUGUAGACCUUUGGAUAGGGGAGGGGUUCUUAGGUGAAGUUCAUGACAUACAUGAAGCACGUGAUCAAGGGAGGAAAAUUAUUAAAACUUUAAAGCAUGCAUGUUUACUGGAGGGUUGUGGUUCAAGAGAAAGAAGGGUUAAGAUACAUGAUGUGAUCCGCGACAUGGCCUUAUGGUUAUACGGUGAACAUGGGGUGAAAAAGAACAAAAUUCUAGUAUACAAUAAAGUUGCUAGGCUUGAUGAAGUUCAAGAAACUUCCAAGUUGAAAGAAACAGAGAGGAUAUCAUUGUGGGAUAUGAACUUUGAGAAAUUCUCUGAAACAUUGGUGUGUCCCAAUAUCCAGACUUUAUUUGUGCAAAAAUGUUGUAAUUUGAAGAAAUUUCCAAGUAGAUUCUUUCAAUUCAUGCUUCUACUAAGAGUUCUGGAUUUAUCAGACAAUUAUAAUUUAAGCGAGUUGCCUUCUGAGAUUGGUAAAUUGGGUGCCUUGAGAUAUCUUAAUUUGUCAUUCACAAGAAUAAGGGAGUUACCCAUUGAACUAAAGAAUUUGAAAAAUCUGAUGAUUUUGCUUAUGGAUGGUAUGAAAUCCCUUGAAAUUAUUCCACAAGAUGUGAUAUCAAGCCUUAUAUCCUUGAAGUUGUUCUCCAUGGACGAAUCCAAUAUCACAAGUGGAGUUGAAGAAACCUUACUGGAGGAGUUGGAGUCCUUGAAUGAUAUCAGUGAGAUAUCAACCACCAUAUCCAAUGCUCUUUCAUUCAACAAACAAAAGAGUAGUCACAAAUUACAAAGGUGCAUAAGUCAUCUACAUUUACAUAAAUGGGGGGAUGUGAUCUCACUUGAACUAUCAUCUUCAUUUUUUAAAAGAGUGGAGCAUUUGCAGGGGCUUGGAAUAAGCCAUUGCAAUAAGUUGGAAGAUGUAAAAAUUGAUGUGGAAAGAGAAGGCACAAACAAUGAUAUGAUUCUUCCAAACAAAAUUGUAGCAAGGGAAAAAUACUUCCACACCCUUGUUAGGGCAGGUAUAAGAUGUUGUUCAAAAUUGUUAGACUUAACAUGGCUUGUUUAUGCUCCAUAUCUUGAAGGACUUAUCGUUGAAGAUUGUGAAUCAAUAGAAGAAGUGAUACAUGAUGAUAGUGAAGUCUGUGAAAUUAAGGAAAAAUUGGACAUAUUCUCAAGGCUCAAAUACCUCAAGCUUAAUGGGCUGCCAAGAUUGAAGAGCAUCUACCAACAUCCACUACUCUUUCCCUCUCUUGAAAUCAUCAAGGUGUGUGAAUGCAAAGGUUUGAGGAGCCUCCCAUUUGAUUCCAACACUUCAAGUAAAAGUCUAAAGAAAAUUAAAGGAGAGACAAGUUGGUGGAAUCAGUUGAAGUGGGAAGAUGAAACUAUCAAGCACUCUUUUACUCCGUAUUUCCAAAUCUGUGAAGCUGAAGCAUAUUCAACAGACACUGAGGAGUCUGAAAUUGGCAGCAUAGAUGAUAUGAAGGAACAACUAGUAUCAAAUUAACUUCUAUCAAUCUUUCAGGUAUUAAUUAACUUUUAUACUAUAUUUGGAAAAUCAUUUUCUUUCCUUAAUCCCAUUCUUUUGUGGAAUUUUUUACUCUAUCUAUGCCAAAGUGCAUCAAAGUCUCGACAUCAAAAUAACUUUCAAUGUUUGAUCUAUCAAGUUUGCCCCUUUUGAAGUAACUGUUAUAAAGUUUGCCCAGAAGGGACUUUGGAGGAGGUCUUUUAUUUAAACAUCUAAUGACAUUUCCUUUUGGUUACUUAAGAACUUGAAAAUAUGCAGAGUUCUCAACUAUGUUAUUUAUUGUGUCUUAAUUUUUUCGAUUCAUUUCAAUCUAUAAGUAGAAAGAGAGAAUACCUAAUUUCAACUUAUUUCUUUAUAUUUCAAGUUGAAACAACAGGUGUUUCGCAACAACUGUAGGUAAAGAUAUUCCAUUAAGAAUUCUCGCUUUGUUUAAUGUAUUUACCAGGACCAACUAUAUGUAAUUUCUCUUCUUUUGUUCAGUUGCCUCUAUCUGGUUGACUCUCAGUUGUUUUUUUUUUUUUUUUUUUCUAUUGCAUUCAGAGUUGGGGCUUGUUCUAGAGGUUCUGACAACAGCUGGGAUUCAAUUAGCUCUAUGUAGUGGGGCCUUGAGUUUUUUGAUUGGAUGCAGAGUAGGGUCUUGUUCUACCUGUUCUUACUCAGUUGGGAUCUGAGCUUCUUCGGCUGCUUCCGUUUCAUCCUGCUCUUUUUCCUUCUAAUUGGUAUAGAUGUGAGCUGGAUUAUGUUUGCUUGCUGGUCUGAGUUUCUGAUAUGUCUAGUGGCGGUGUGCUGAUUCUCAGAGUAUCGUUAUUCAUGGUGCUCGGUCUGCUGGGAAAGUUGGUUAAUGUCCAGAUGCAGGGGCUCAUCUCGGCAGGCUUUGGUUGGGAUCCAUGUGUUUGCUGGAAUUGGAUUCUGUGGGUUGCCUUUGGCUUUUGAUGUAGGCCGGGUUUGUUUUCUUUGUUGAGGCUGGUGGAGUAUGGUGGCUCAGAAGCUGCUAGUAAUCUGUCUGUUGUAUGCUGACGCUGGAAUCUUCAUGGAGGUUGCUCUGGUGGGUCAAUAUGAUAUGGGAAUGCUUUUGCCUUUUGAGUCCUUGGGCGUCAGCUGGUUGCUUGUGUUUCCUCUGCGCUUUAGUUCAUAUACCAGAGUGCAUACUUCCUUGAGUUCCAUAUCCCACUGCCAAGUGUGUUGUCCAUGAUGUAAUGUAAAGCAGUUAAUUUGUAUACCUGGCCUUAAGUUCCUCUCUAGAAAACUUUGAACGCCCUUUAUGAAUGAAAUGUUGUGAGAAAAACUGGAGUUGAUUUUCACAUUUGAGGUCGUUAAUGGUGAUUUUUCUUAAUGUAAUUGUGAUCGAAAAGAAAUUUGAUCAAGUAGUCGAAACUAUAAGCAGAGUUGAUCUUAUUCAACAUUGCAUUAUAAUUUGGUACCCCUCACAGAUCGCUCCAAAUAGCAUUGAAAAGUACUUUCAUUUUCCUUCAGUGGAG
rnacentral:lncRNA from 1 species